CCAGCAUCAGGAUGUUUGAAUUGUCUAAGAACAUUUGUGAAUAAAUGGGGCGUAAUCUGGAAUACCAACGAAUUUUAAAAACCCUAAAUACAAACAAAAACUUAAAAUAUGUGUUUCUUAACAAAAUAAUAGUUACUUUGGCUUGAAAAGUUAAAUAAAGAAAUAAAAACAGAGGGCUAAAUUUCUUUGUUGCUCUGUUAAAAUACGGGAUCAAAUAGGGGUUUGAUGUUGCUAUAUGCCCUUACAAGAAGAGUAUAUUAAAUUUGAUCAGAAGGAUGCAUUUUUAACCAUAUAAUGUAUAUAUAUGUAUAUGUAUUCUUGAUCGGCACAUUAUGAGAAGGAUUCAUAUUGCUUUGUACGUCUUUGUGACUCUCUGUUCCUUUGGAUCAACAUUUACUCUUUCAAGAAAUCCGACUUUUUUCAUUAAAGGUAUUUUUACUUUGACACCUGUAGAUAGGGGAUAGAGUAAUGAAAAAUCUUGAAAGAGUACACAGACUUCGACACAGCCGAAGGUGGCCCGGCCCCUCUGGUUUAUUGUUGUUUUUGCUUUCAUGAGCGGAGGGUGUACGUUGUCUGCGCUCAUGUGUUUUCGUGUGUGUUUUGUUCCGUUUGCGUUUGUUCAUUGAUUUCCUAAUUAAGUUUAUAAUUAAAAUUAAUUGAAAAAUUAGCUACAUUAUACAUGCAUAUAUGUAUAUGUAUAUGCUUCUAUAGAUUUAUGCAUGUAAAGUGACUUCCCGCGUGUUGUAACAGUUGUAACAAUCAAAUGUGUCUAUUAAACAAUAUCUGAAAUACUUUGAAUUCCACAACAAAAUUUUGUAAAACUAAAAAUUGAGAAUGAGAAUUGUGCCAAAAACGAGGUGGUCCUCGUCUGCCAACUGAGUGGCAACUCUAGUCAAAUGAACUGUUUUUACCUGCAGAGCCGGCAGUCAACACACCGUGAGCGUGAGUGUCAGAGCGAGAGAGGGGGCGCGGGCGUGGAAUUUUCAAAAAUAGCAGCAGUAACCAUAAUCCUACAGUCGCAGAGAGAGAGAGAGAGAAUCAGCAGCAGCAGCAGCAGCGCCAGCUUCAGCAGGCAUAAUAAUCAAAGAUUAAAUCAGGUUUAUAUGGAAAAGGGUUAAAAAAGCAACGCUCGCAGGAAGAAAUACACGUUUCCUAGCCUUACCGACAGCAGCGACAGCGGCAGCAGCAGCAACAACUACAACUACAACUGAUUAUACACACAGAGAGCGAGCGCGCGCGAGAGACAGGGAGAGAGAGAGAGAGAACUGCGCAAGUCACUCGUAUAUGUAUAUAUUUGAGCGUACCGUUUUUCUUUCACUGAGUUUUCUUUCGUCUGCCUUACGGUCAUGUUGUGUUGUGACGGAAAAGCGGAAAAUCUGAGAAUAAAAGCAACAGAGCACAAUAUAUGAUUUUGCGUUUGUUUUGAAAAAGCGCAAUGUAUUUGUUGUUUUUGUUUUUUUUAUAGUGUUUGUGUAUAAGUGUACGUGUGUGUGUGUUUGAGCGAGUACACGAAACUCGAGACCAAAAAGGAAGCUAGAAAAUAUAGUGCAAAAACGACAAAAAACGAAAAGAAAAAAAGUGAAGCCAAGUAAUAAUAAUAAUAAUAAUAAAAUAGGCAAAAAAGACGGCAGACCAGUUUAAAAAAGGAAAAGAGACCAAGUCAGAGGCAAGGAGUGAGACAGAGAGAAAUAGAGAGAGAGAAAGAGCAAAAAACGUCUAUUUACAGGGCUGGCUAUAUAUAUAUAUAUAUAUAUAUAUGUAUCUCUCUCUGUGUGUGUGUGAGGCAAUUGAACGUUCAUACAACAACAACAACGACCACAUACGGUGAAAAGGCCCAUUUCAAGGAGCGAAAGGCAGCAGCAGCAGCAAUAAGAAUAAUAAAUUACACUUUGCUAUAA